UACGGAGGGUGCAAGCGUUAAUCGGAAUUACUGGGCGUAAAGCGUGCGCAGGCGGUUUGUUAAGUCCGCUGUGAAAUCCCCGAGCUCAACUUGGGAAUUGCAGUGGAUACUGGCAAGCUUGGAGUAUGGUAGAGGAAGGUGGAAUUCCCGGUGUAGCAGUGAAAUGCGUAGAGAUCGGGAGGAACACCAGUCGGCGAAGGCGGACCUUCGUCGG
rnacentral:rRNA from 1 species